GACGUAGGGCGCGAGCGUUGUCCGGAUUUAUUGGGCGUAAAGAGCUCGUAGGCGGCUUGUCGCGUCGUCCGUGAAAACUCACAACUCAAUUGUGGGCGUGCGGGCGAUACGGGCAGACUGGAGUACUGCAGGGGAGACUGGAAUUCCUGGUGUAGCGGUGAAAUGCGCAGAUAUCAGGAAGAACACCUAUGGCGAAGGCAGCUCUCUGGGACGGUACUGACGCUGAGACGCGAAAGCGUGGGGAGCGAACAGG
rnacentral:rRNA from 1 species